AUUUUUAUAGUUGAAGUACAACUGUGGCUUUUCGUGCCACCAGUCUUGGUUAAAGUCCAGGUGAAAAUU
rnacentral:tRNA from 1 species